AGCUAUGGCUUGAGUGGUUUGUUUAUGCUUGAAUACCAUCUUUGUUUCUAGCCGCUUUGGAAUUGGAGCACCGUCUCUUCUUCUCACAUCUACUUUCCACCGCUUUGUUAAAUGUUGUUAUCUUACUUCCUUCAAUAAUUUUAUUCCCUUGUCGAUCCCUUUUCUUUUUAUCAUCGUUGUAGAAGAACACCACAACCAUAUUACAUCAUCAGAAUGAAGUCCUUCACCCUCUGCUCUACCAUCGUUUCCACCGCCACCGUUGGCCAAUCAUGUCUUCAUCUGGUAUGCUUCCACCUCCUUCUUUUUUCUUUUAUCUCAAAGAGAAGGCAUCAUUUACUCGAUUCUCCACCACAUCACUGAUUAUCACUCAUGCCUCCGUCGAUUAAUAAAUUGUAUCGGUUGUUAUUAUCUUACUUCCUUCAACGAUUUCAUGCCCUAAACUGACUGUUGCUUUUGCUAUUUCACAUACAAGAAUUGUGCGAUUUGUAGCCCUAAUUUGUAAAGCUGAUUACCUCCAUACAUGAAGCAUCUACCUGUUAUUGUAGAUGUCGGUUGUUCUAUGUGCGUUUCUAACAUCGAGCACUGCUUCUUACAAACAAACUUCAGACUCCACGAACUCUAAUUGGUAUCUUAAUCAUUGUUGUCAAUCAAAUGAGGGAUAGCUUGUUUCUCACAAAAAAACUUGAUGACGCUUGUAACUUGCUCCUUUUUCGUUCUCUUUUGCUCAUCCGUUUGAUUUCCAGGAUUUAAGCCGAUGUCGAUUUAGGGGUUAUAGUAUCUUCUUCAAAUCCACUUUAUGAACAAAUCAUUCCACCGGGCAUCAAAACCCUAACCCUUAUCAUUCAACCGACCCCGGUUUCAUCCACCAACAUCAUCAAAGCCUACAAAGGAUGCUUGCAAAGAGUGUUGAUUGAAAUUAUGGAAUCGGUUCAGUUAACGGGCUAAUGGCGGCCUUUCUUCCAAUCUCGAUUUGGGUUUGUCGAUCAAAGAAAAAAAGGCGAAUUAUAUCCACAUCAAGCAAACCCCUCUGUCAGUCAAAAUUAAACCAACUGACUGCCUUUUGAUUUAAUUGUAGGUUUCAUCCAAGUGUUGCCACUGUUAGCUCAUCUUUUCUAUUAGGAAUUUAAAGCCUCCACUAUAUAACUCUUAAAGAAAGAACAUGUAUAUGUUACCUGGUUUGCUAUAUACAGGUGUCUGUUUGUCUAUCAGUAGGAAGGAUUAUUUUAUAAGAAUGAUACUUGACACAGUCACUAAAUUUGAAUUACAGGAGAGGUGUAUGUAUAUAAGAUUUGGUUCUUAAUGAAGAAAACUGGAUUAUGAUUUGAAUUGAUGCAAUUCUUUCAUGUUGAUGGCACUGGUGGUUACUAGAUUGGUCACCUUUACAAACCUUCUUCUAAUAAGGAUGAUUGGAGUGACAGUUUCAAUCAGAAAGGAUGUUAUUUCAAGGCGUCAUUCAAUUUGAAAAACUUUAUACAUGAACUCCUUAUAUGUGUAACACCCUAUUCCGAAUCAUUUCCUAUGUGGGGGUGGUGACUCGAAGACCGAGUAUCAUCAGGCUUAGGGGAUUUAAGGAAAAGAGAUCUAGACCUAUUUAGGUGUGGGUAAUGUAAUUUGGAUGAUCCGGGAGUCCGGUCUAUGUUUUGGCGCCAAGAAGAAUUUCGGUAAAGUGUCAGUUCGGGCUUUUAUGAAUUUUGGAUUUUUGUUCGGAAAGUUUUAAGGCAAGGAUGAGUUGAUAGAAGUGUAGAGCUUCUUGUUGACUUUCAUUGGAUAUCAAGAACAUCAAAUUUGGAGUUAGAACGAAGAAGUUAUGCUUGUUUGAAGUUUAGUCGGUUUUGGGUUAUGCUGAGUACGAUGGGCGUACAGAGGAGAGUAGGUUGGGCGUACUGAGACACCCUAAUUACGCUGGGCAUACCAUAAGUACGCUGGGCGUAUGAAAUCAUGGCCUAAGCCCUAUAUUUGUGGUUUGAUCCCUAUUUAAGCACCUUAACUCCCCAAAACCCACUCCAUUCUCAGCCUCCACCCCUCUAACACCCCUUCCAUGAAACCAUAACCCUAGUUGACCCCUUUGUGAUAAAAGAAGGUGUUUUUGAGUGCUUUGGAGUAUGCAUGGUGUACCUCGGAGAAGAAGGAACUUCUUAGAGAAGUGUUGGUUGCAUUGGAGCUUGUAGAUCUAGACUUUGUUCACCUUGAUCUAUCUUCUAGAGGUAUAAAGUUUGAAUUUUGAUGAUACAUUUGUUAGAUCUAACUAGUUUUGGAUGUUACGAGCUUUUGGUCAUUUUAGUGCAUAAAGUUUAGAUCUUGAAAUUUUGUGACCUUGUUAUGGAUAACGUUGGAAACUUUAUUAUCUAAACAUCAUUUUGAUUCAGAUAUGAAAGUUGGCGACUUAUACUUAAUGGAUUAAGUUGAAAAAGAUAAACUUUUGGGUCCCUUUGAGACUUAAAGACUAGAUCUUGUUUGUUGGGACCAUUAUAAUGGAUAAAGUUGGAAACUUUAUCCAUUAUAAAGCUAUUAUGAACUAUAAAAAUGUGAUAUUGACCCUUCUAUCCCUUCCAUGCAAGAGUUGUGAUAUUUUCUUGCGUUAAGAACUUAGGGUUUUGGACAUUAAGCACUUUAUAACCAUGCAAAGUCAUAAAGUUGGAAACUUUAUGACUUAGUACAUCAUUUUGGGUUUGGAUCUGAGUUUUGGAUGUAAGAACUUAAUGGAGUUUUGGGAUUGGGCUUAGUACGCUGGGCAUAUGCAGUCAGCACCCAGAGUAAGAUGGGCGUACUCUCUUGGUACGCAGGGUGUACUCCGCUUGGAAGAAAUAUUGACUUUUGGACCUUAACCAUUGACUUUGACUUUGACCAUGGUUGACCAAGUUUGACCUAAGGGUAUUUUGGGUUAUAGGGUUAAUUAUUGAUUAAGAUUGUAUUUAUUGUUAGUUGGUGCGAGAUUAUCUGAUUCGGCGGUCUAAGAAGUUAUUUGAUUAUUAGCGGAUUGAGGUAAGUCUUUCUUAUUGUACUUACGGGUCGAAGACACUAAGGCCAACCCAUUGGAUUAGAUAUCCUGAUAUGUGAUAGUAUGAUGAUAUGCUUAGUGAUAUGAAGAUUUACCUAAUUGUCUGCUGACUGAUUAUAUGCUUAUGUAUAUAUGUGCACAUAUUUGGUUGGUGGUUGAUGCUUUACUUCUUUGUACGUGAGCCAACAAACCAAGGGUAUUCCAACCUGAUGGUUGAUUGCACCCAAGUUAUGUAUAUAUUCGCAUUCCAAUCCAGGUUAUUCCAUCCCGAGGAUGACUGGACCCUAUGAUUGACUGGGCAUGGGGUAUUCCAACACGAUGGUUGAUUGUACCCAACAUGAUUAUUAUGGUAUAUGGUGAGAUUGGACUGCUCUGUGCAUCAGUCAAUAGGUUGGGGGUAUACCAACCCGAUGGUUGAUUGGACCCGACAUGUAUGGUAUUCCAACCGGAUCAGGGUUUGGAAACCCUAAUUAGGGUUUGGAAAACCCUAAUGUCAUGAAACCCUAAUUUCGGGACUGAUUGGGGCCCGAAUCGGGAUUAUUUAUUAAACUUAAAUUAUUAAUUAAUAAUUGUUGGCAAAUUAAUCUAAAGCAAUAUUUGACUUAAGGGAAUAAGUCUUUAAUAGGUUAAGUAGGAACACUUAACCCUAAUCAUCAUUUUAUGUGAAACCCUAAUUUCUCUUGGGCCUUGAGUUGAGCCUUUCCAUUGGGCUUUGGUAAUUGGAUCAUUAAUGGGCAAUCCAAGAAUGAUCGUAUGGACUAGACUGUGUUGUUGGGCUUUAUGGUAAGACCCAUGUGAAGGCCUGGGCCCAAUUUGGAAAAUUGGGCCAUAGAUGGGUCAUAGUUUGGGCCUUAAGGAUUAUAUGAUAUUGGGCCAUUAGAGUGUCAAAUGUUGGACCGGAAUAAAUGGUUGGGCCUUUGAAUAAGACCAUGUAAAGGCUUGGGCCCAAUUUGGAAAAUUGGGCCAUAUGUUGGGCUUUGAUUCCUAGUUUGACUUUUGGGCCUAUGGAUUGGAUCUUGGGUUGGUAUAAAGCUAUGCUUGGGGUAAUGUAGUAAUUAUCCAAAGUAUGUAUUUAUGGUUAUGUAGUGGAACCCAAUUAUUAAUUGGGUGAUGUUCUGAUGUUGACAGUUCGGGAACUUGUCAACCAGCACUGGAGUUUUAUCUGCGGGACUUCAGUAGUGCCAGGUGAGUCUCCUCACCAUACCAAUGGGUCUAAGGCACCAAGGCCGGCCCAUUUUAUGAUAUGGGGUACACUAGCUGAAGUUGUAUUAUGUGGCAUAUUAGUUGGUUAUUUUCUAGGAAGUAUGUUGGUGGUAUAUGUGUUAUGCUUGUAUGGAAGACCAUGGGAGAGCCCAUGGCACCUGGAUGUAAGACCAUGAAUUUCC